UACAGGGGGUGCAAACGUUGUUCGGAAUUACUGGGCGUAAAGGGCGCGUAGGCGGCCCGCUAAGUCGAACGUGAAAUCCCCGGGCUCAACCCGGGAACUGCGUCCGAUACUGGUGGGCUUGAAUCCGGGAGAGGGAUGCGGAAUUCCAGGUGUAGCGGUGAAAUGCGUAGAUAUCUGGAGGAACACCGGUGGCGAAGGCGGCCAACUGGACAGAUACUGACGCUGAGACACGAAAGCGUGGGGAGCAAACAGG
rnacentral:rRNA from 1 species